UUAGCUGCAUUGUUGUGGCUGUGGGGCCCAGCGCUGGGAGUUAUUAGAGCAGGAGGGAGGGCGUUGGAUUAAGACGAAUGAUUUAUUAAGGAAAAGGACUCUGAUUAGAUUCUUACUCAUUCCCUGCGUGUGGAUGCAUACUCAUACACCCCCCAUCCUGACUCCCCCUGGGGCACCACACAGCCAGUGUCAGUCAGUGCCGGAUGGCUGUGGGGUUUCUCCUUGGAGUGUAUCCUGCUGGCUGCUCUUGUGGUGCUGGGAGUCCCCCAUCUCAUACUGGGAUAGUGUAUGAGGUAACGACUGAUGCCUGGUGCCGGGCCCCCUGCAUGGUCCCCAGCUGCCUCUGCCUGCCCCUCACUUGUUUGGAAGGUGGGGGACUACUGGCAUCAUGCCCAGCUCUGCCUACCCUGUAGUGGGGACCCACAUUGGGUGCUGAGUGGGUCCUGAUGACUGGGGAGGGCGUAUGGGAAGGGAAAGUUGGGCUUUAGUGUGUUAGCUCUGUACCCUACAUUGUGGGAGAGGGAGCUAAGGGUGCCCCUCCAGCAGGAGGGUCAACAGGGCUCACCCUGGAUGAGGGGAGAUGUCAGCCCACUCCGUGGGUCCAGGGUGCUCUCUGCACCCCGGAGAUGUGGGGUGGGUAUGGCUGGAGAGACGGGCACUGCCACGGGUUGCCCAUGUCCUUCCGUCUUAGUGUCUGUGCUGUCACAAUGGGCCAUGUACAUGUCCCCCUGACUGUCCCUGGAGGGAACAGAGAUCAGGGACACAGGGACACCUGGGUGCUGCUGGGAUAUAAAGGAUAUAGAGUGGAAAGAGAGUAAUUUGGGGGACUGCAUGGUGAUUCUGAGAGCUGGGGAGCAGUUUGGGUUGGUGUGGCCUUGCCAGAAGAAGGAUCUCUGCAACCUGCUGUACUGAUGCCUGCAGUUUCCAGGUGGCCUCAAUAACAGUUUGGUCCCAUGUACCCUGGGUCAAACCCACAGCCUCCAGCUAUGAUGGGCGCAUUAAGCAUCCCCGAUCUCUGCCUGCCCUCUCCACAC